rnacentral:tRNA from 1 species
AGGGGUGUAGCUCAAUUGGUAGAGCAUCCGACUGUUAAUCGGAAGGUUCUUGGUUCGAGUCCAAGCGCCCCUGCC